rnacentral:rRNA from 1 species
AGAGUUUGAUCAUGGCUCAGGAUAAACGCUGGCGGCGUGCCUAAAACAUGCAAGUCGAACGGGCACCUUCGGGUGUCAGUGGCGGACGGCUGAGUAACACGUGGGUGACCUGCCCUCGAGCGGGGGAUAACUGCCCGAAAGGGUGGCUAAUACCGCAGACGUCGAUUGUUCGAUCAGUCGACUGAACCCUUCGGGGGUUCGAGGAGGGGCCCGCGGCCGAUUAGCUGGCUGGUGGGGUAACGGCCUACCAGGGCGACGAUCGGUAGCUGGUCUCAGAGGAUGAUCAGCCAGACUGGGACUGCGAGACGGCCCAGACUCCUACGGGAGGCAGCAGUUAGGAAUUUUGGGCAAUGGGCGAAAGCCUGACCCAGCAACGCCGCGUGGGUGAUGACGGCCUUCGGGUUGUAAAGCCCUUUUCCCAGGGAAGAUAGUGACGGUACCUGGGGAAGAAGCCCCGGCUAACUACGUGCCAGCAGCCGCGGUA